rnacentral:rRNA from 1 species
AGUGAACGCUGGCGGUAGGCCUAACACAUGCAAGUCGAACGGCAGCACAGUAAGAGCUUGCUCUUACGGGUGGCGAGUGGCGGACGGGUGAGGAAUACAUCGGAAUCUACUUUUUCGUGGGGGAUAACGUAGGGAAACUUACGCUAAUACCGCAUACGACCUACGGGUGAAAGCAGGGGAUCUUCGGACCUUGCGCGAUUGAAUGAGCCGAUGUCGGAUUAGCUAGUUGGCGGGGUAAAGGCCCACCAAGGCGACGAUCCGUAGCUGGUCUGAGAGGAUGAUCAGCCACACUGGAACUGAGACACGGUCCAGACUCCUACGGGAGGCAGCAGUGGGGAAUAUUGGACAAAGGGCGCAAGCCUGAUCCAGCCAUACCGCGUGGGUGAAGAAGGCCUUCGGGUUGUAAAGCCCUUUUGUUGCGAAAGAAAAGCAGCAGGUUAAUACCCCGCUGUUCUGACGGUACCCAAAGAAUAAGCACCGGCUAACUUCGUG